GAUGAAGAACGCAGCGAAAUGCGAUAAGUAAUGUGAAUUGCAGAAUUCAGUGAAUCAUCGAAUCUUUGAACGCACAUUGCGCCCGCCAGUAUUCUGGCGGGCAUGCCUGUUCGAGCGUCAUUUCAACCAUCAAGCCCCAGGCUUGUGUUGGGGACCUGCGGCUGCCGCAGGCCCUGAAAACCAGUGGCGGGCUCGCUGUCACACCGGGCGUAGUAGAUUUUAUCUCGCUCAGGGCGUGCUGCGGGUUCCGGCCGUUAAAAAGCCUUUUUUACCCAAGGUUGACCUCGGAUCAGGUAGGAAUACCCGCUGAACUUAAGCAUAUCAAUAGCGGAGGA
rnacentral:misc_RNA from 1 species